rnacentral:lncRNA from 1 species
GAGACCUCGCCGACAGCGCACAGCUCCGGGCACUUGCCCUUCCCGAGCCGGCGUCGGCGGCGGAGUGCGCAGGCGCGGCCUUCGGGUUUCCCCGGCUACAGUCGGCGCAUCGGCCCGCUAGUCCGCCGCCGGCUCUUCCGCCGCCCUGCGCCAUGGCGGGCUGCGCGGCGCGGGUUCCGCCGGGCUCCGAGGCGCGCCUCAGCCUCGCUACCUUCCUCCUUGGUGCCUCGGUGCUCGCUCUGCCUCUGCUCACGCGCGCCGGCCUGCAGGGCCGCACCGGGCUGGCGCUGUACGUGGCCGGACUCAACGCGCUGUUGCUGCUUCUCUACCGGCCGCCGCGCUACCAGAUAGCCAUCCGAGCUUGUUUCCUUGGCUUUGUGUUUGGCUGCGGCGUGCUGCUAAGUUUCAGCCAGUCCUCCUGGAAUCACUUCGGCUGGUCCCGGCUAGUGCUCCCCCCACAGCCAGUGUAGGACUUUCCCCUACACUAUGAGUUCAGUCCCUUGAGCCUUCUAGCCUCUGACUUGGAAAUGAA